UUACUUCGCCUAUAUUUGGUUGUUUAACUUCUGUAAUCUUAAAUUCUUUAACUGGCACAGCCAUUCUCGACCAACCUCGAAAGGCUGGCUCUCCUUCAUUAUUGAUAUAAGCAAGGAGAUGUGGCACAGCCUCUUGGAUGUCCUCACGGAUUUCAUAAGUCGAUUCAAGGCGAAAGAGGUUAAAGUUUCUAAGAAGAUAGUCGUGAAGUGUCAAAAACUGUAGGUUGAGCUUUGGAAGUGCCAGGCAUCCUUCCCCAGUGUAGUUGAUGCUCGGUACAAGGCUUUCAUCCCACAUUAUUUGUUCGUUAGGGUAAAGAGGAAGAGCAUUUAUGGCCUCUUUCUGUGACUGUUGUCUCUCAAAGAAAGAUACCAUUACUUCAAUUAAGAAAUCAACUCUAUUUGAGCAUGGAUCAUCAACUGAUAUCAGUUUUAGCUUCCGGCACACUAAAUCUCUCAGCUCCUCAGGAGUAAGCCCAGAAAGUUUCUUAGAUAGAUCAGCG
rnacentral:misc_RNA from 1 species